rnacentral:rRNA from 1 species
UCCGGGGGGGGCAAGCGUUGCUCGGAAUCACUGGGCGUAAAGGGUGCGUAGGCGGGGUUUUAAGUCAGGGGUGAAAUCCUGGAGCUCAACUCCAGAACUGCCUUUGAUACUGAAGAUCUUGAGUUCGGGAGAGGUGAGUGGAACUGCGAGUGUAAAGGUGAAAUUCGUAGAUAUUCGCAAGAACACCAGUGGCGAAGGCGGCUCACUGGCCCGGUACUGACGCUGAGGUGCGAAAGCGUGGGGAGCAAACAGG